rnacentral:rRNA from 1 species
AUACGUAUGGGGCGAGCGUUGUCCGGAAUUAUUGGGCGUAAAGGGUACGUAGGCGGUUUCAUAAGUCAGAUGUAAAAGCGUGGGGCUCAACCCCAUAAAGCAUUUGAAACUGUGGAACUUGAGUAGUGGAGAGGAAAGUGGAAUUCCUAGUGUAGCGGUGAAAUGCGUAGAUAUUAGGAGGAAUACCAGUGGCGAAGGCGACUUUCUGGACACAAACUGACGCUGAGGUACGAAAGCAUGGGGAGCAAACAGGAUUAGAUACCCUGGUAGUCCAUGCCGUAAACGAUGAAUGCUAGGUGUCGGGGGUCAAACCUCGGUGCCGCAGUUAACACAGUAAGCAUUCCGCCUGGGGAGUACGGUGGCAACACUGAA